rnacentral:misc_RNA from 1 species
GUGAAUUUGAAAAAGGAAAAGGAGAAAAUUAGUGACAUUUUAUGGGUAUCUUGAAAAGUGUAUAAGAAUAUUAUUUGAUACCAAAAAUCACACAAAGUGUGCUACCCUCCACGUGCUUAUCGGUUGUAUAUUCCUCUUCCUGGUCUAAUCACAACUACACUGCCUAGCACUAGACAGCAUUUGAACAAUUGUAUUAUAUGCAUUACUACACUCUUGAACACACUAAUUAGAGAAAUGGAAACAGAAGCAUUUGAUUGUUAACAGAACAUAGAAUUUUGAUUUUAGCAACUCAAAUUGGCUAGACUUCAAUCAGAUUUUUUUAUUUCAUAUGAUUCUUGCAUUUGAAAUCUGUCAGCUAACCUCUGAAAUUGGAUUCUUGAAAAUUGGAAGGUGUGGAAAGAGGAUAGUGCUUAUCAGGCUGGAAAUGUCAUGGUUUCAUUAGAAGUUUAGAACCAUCUCUUUCCAUUAUUAGCUGCCUUGAGCUUCAUCACAAGCUCUUCCCUUUGACCUUCAACCUCAGCAUAUUUGAGGCUCACGUGGAAGUAGCGCUCCCGAAGAUCUCUUAGCUCUGUCUCUAAUGAUGAUUUUGUACGCUCAAAUUUUUCUUUUGGCACAAAUUCACCUUCUGCUUUUGAUUUUCUUGGAGUUCCUGUGUGACUUUUCCAUCCCUCAGAGGUCGACCUGCAUCCAAGCCAAUUCACCAAAAAAAUAUGUGAAAAUGGAAGUAGUGGUUCCAUGUAAUUAGCCACAUAAAAAACUAUAUGGGAUACCCUGCAUAGAUGACCACCUUAAUGAAUGAUCUGAAAAAUCACAUUAAAUGUUGCUUGGUUAGUUAAAUUGGACAGGGAAUAUAUGUUUUCAAGACACUAUUUUCCUUUAAUACUCACCUUUUAACCUGAACUUUAUAUGCCUUGUUUGCUUCUAUAGCCUUGGACUGUUCAUCCUCAAGCAACUGAAUUUUGGAGGGAUUAUCACCUUCUUUUUGAUGUUGAUUACUAGGAGAAUUUAUACUUCUCGACUCCCUCAAACUACGUUGUUUUUCCUUCAUCAAUAUCAACUCUUCUUCAAGGGAUUGAGCUCUUCUUGUGCACUUUUCUUUCUCUUCCUCAAGUUGUUGUAUCUGCUGUUGAAGUUGCUUGUUUGUUCUCUUGAUAUGGCUGAGCUCAUUUUUAAGUUCUGCAUCCUGUUCACAUAAAGCCUCUUUUGCAAUUAGGUCACUCUCCACUUGUUGAAGCUUUUGUUCUAAGUCAAAUCUAUCUUGUUUGCAUUCUUCUAAUUCAGAAACAGCCUUCUGCAAGUCAGUGAUCUUCUCAAUGAAAAAUUUUUUCUCUUUUAUCAACUCUUUGCAUUCUUCAGAUUUUGGACUCAUCAAAGUUUCUAGUUUCUCUUUCUCAGACUUGAUUGCAUUCAAUUCAUUCUUUAGCGCCAAAACUUCAUCCUGAAGAGUUCCAAAUUUCAGCAACUCAGUCUUCAAAUUUGUAGAUUCUUCCAUGAGUUGUUGCCUCUCAUACUCAGAAACUGUAAGCUUUAGUUCUAGACCAUUAAGAGUAGUCUUAAAUUUGUCAUCACAUGAUUUGUAAUUUUCCAACAACUUCACCAUUUUUCCAUUAUCAGUCUUCAGCAUUUCUUGGUUUUGAUUGGAGGAAGCAAGCUUGUCCAUCAAGCCUUCAAUCUUCUGCUUGGAUUCUAUCUGUGUGGUACUGAGUUCUGAUUCUAGCUUAGCUAUAAUUGCACGUAAACCAGACGCUUCAUGCUCAGCAUCAGAAGAAAUCCUCUCUCUUUCAUCUUGAGUUGCAGAAAGUUUCUUGGUAAGGUCUCCAAUCUCUUGUUGAAGAUUCUCAACUUGAACCAUCUUCUCCAAAUACAUCUGAUUUAGUACACCAACUUUCUUAUUCUGUUUGUCAUUUUCCUUAAGCAGUGCAUCCAGUUCUGAAGUUAGGCUUCUUUCUUUUGAGGCACUAUCUUCCAGCAAUGAAUGAAUAUUUUCUUGCAAAACAUUCACUCUUUUGGAGCAAUCAGCAAAAUUUCUUUGUGAUUCCCUCAAUUUCAUCUCCAGAUGGUUACAAUGCCCUUGCAGCUCUAGUUUCUGCACUUGCAACUCUUCGUUAGAAUUCUGAAAUGACCUGCAUUCUUCCAUAAGACUCUCAGCAGUAGCUUGUAACUUUGGAUUAGCAUUUCUCAGAUGUUCGAGCUCUUCUUGAGCUUCUGACCAUUGACUGUCCAUCUCUUCUAGCUUUUGUUUCACAUCCAUCUUUUGAGUCUCCAUAUCAUUUCUCAAUCGCAUGAUCUCAUCUUGAAGAUUGACAGCAUUGGAUUUGGAACUCUCUAGCUCCUGUUCCAUUGACUCCCUUUCAUCUGUCAAGUUCCUUUUUUGAGCUUCUAAGCCUGAUAUGCAAGUUGACAAUUCUCCAUUUUCCUGCUCUAGCUCUGAUAGACGAAUCUCCAAUUCAUGCUUGCCACUUUCUAGCUCUGAAGAUUUCCUCCGUAGAAUUUUGUUGGCAGAAACAUGAGUAUCUACACUUUUGCUGAGCACCGUUACAUCCUUUCGCAAUUCAUUUAGGCAUUUCGUAGAAAUAUCACUUUCUCUACUAACAAUUUCUACUUUUUCCUCUAGUUGGUCCUUUUCUUCUUGAAGAACAGAAAGCUUGUCUUCCAAUUCUCUUUGAUGUAUUUGAAGGUUCCCAAUCUCUUCUUCUUUCAAAAGCAAACCAUUUUCAAGUCUUUCUAUCACCUCUCUUUUUUCAGCCAGUUCCUUACUCAGUUCAUUAACUUGAUCUUCCAGCUUGAAUUUGACAUUCUCAAGUUCUUGAAUUGAAAGAUUGUAAUCAAUUUCAAUCUCCUUGAGAAUUUUCUUCUUCAUCUUCUCUUCAAGAUCAUGAAUUUGGGAUUCAUGAUUACUCACUUCGAACCUGGAAGUGGUAAAAGAUGCACCUUCUUCUGUGCAGCAGUUCUUCAUUUCCUUAAGCUUGAGCAAUAGCUCAAAGUUUUCAUCUGUUAGCUCCUGGCAAUCGCUUUCUAGCUCCUGCAGUUUAACUUUCAGUGAUUCAAUCUCUCUGAUAAGAAUUCCAUCACCUCCUUCAGUGGGUUCCAUUUCUGCAGAAUGAUGCCUUUGUUUCAGAGAUUCAGAUAACUUUGCCUUCAAACUGAUUAUUUCUUUUUCUUUAGCAGAUAGCUUGGAUUUAUAUUCUGUCUCAAUAUCCAGAAGGGUUAGAUGAUUUGAACUCCCAUUAUCUGAAUUUUGUGUUUUUCCCUCCAGUGCCAUUUCCAGUUCCUGCACCUUAUCUUGCAAAUUCUUCUCUGAUUCCUGCAAUUGUUGUACCUGGAAAACCAAGUCCUGGUUCUUCUGCACAUUCACCUGAAUAGAAUUCUCCAUAUCACUGAAUUUUGAUUGUAUAGUUGACAGCUUCUCUAUUUCAGCUUUCUGCUUUUCUAUAGUCUCUUCCAGCUCCUGAAGCACUGAAACAAGCUCGACAUUUGACUCUUGACUCCUAUUCAACUGCAAAGUGAGAUUGGCAUUAGAUUCUUUCUGAAACUUAAUCUCAUUUUCUAACUCCUUUAAAACAUGGGUUGCCCCUCUAUCUUGAAGUGUUGAAUCCUCCAAGGCUGCUGAUUUCACUGUUGACUUCUCCAACAAUAGUUUUAGCUUUUCAACUUCCUUUUGCAACCCCUCACGUUCUGUACACGCUGCUGACAGCUCUAUCUCCAAAUUUACUUGGUUACUGGACUGUUCUGAGUAUUCUUUCCUCAAUAUCUCUAAAUCAAGCAUCAGCUUCCUGGCAUUCCUCUCCCACAUCUUAGCUUCACUGUGAAGGUUUUCGAUCGUAUCUUCUGCAGCUUCCAGUAGGCUUUUAGAUGAACCUGAAAUUUUCAUAGAUGGUGCAACCAACUCUUGAAGGUCAUCCUGAGAAAGGUUUUCUGAAUGCGUAAUCCGUGAGUUAAAUGAAGAAUUAUCUGACUGAGAGGCAUUAUCAGCAUUAGAACUGCCUGGAGGUACACUAUUUUGGGAGCUAGUUGAGUCCUGCCUUGCAAUGAGGUUGUGCUCAUCAACACUCAUGUUGUUUGAAGGGGAAAAACCGCCUCUUCCCAUAGAACUCUCUGCUGAGUUAUAGCUGUGAUGCGAUCCUGAACUAGACAAACUAGUAUCCUGGAGUCCUCCUCCUCCUCCUCCCUUUAUUUCGUGAUCUUCUUGAUGUGUGAUGGAGCCCAAAUCUCUGCUAGAGCAAGAUCUUGCACUCUUUGCAAAUGUAUUAUCAGACUCCUCUGACUUGAUUUCUGCAUCCUGAGAUUCUGCAGUACGAUCUUCUUUAUUGGAAUUUGUUUCUUUUGAUUCAUCAUCCCUAAGAUUUAUCCUUGGUGUCAGGCAUUGAAUCUUGAGUUGCAAAACGGUUCCAUGAUUGCACUUUUUCAAUGGGAAUGAAAGCUGAACAGAAUCACUUGAACUCAUAUAUGUUGCCAUGUUCACAACUGUCUCCCCAAGAAUGCCAGAUCUAGCCGAUCCCAUGGCAACCACAAGCUUGUAGGGGCAAUCUUCUAGCUCGUUUGAAGGCUGGCCAUCUUGUGAAACCCAAAUAGACUCUGACACAGUUUCUGUCCAUUGGCAAGUGCCAUUUCUCACAGCUGCUUUACUGGAUUUCGCAAUAGUUUUUCCAGUCUCUACUGAGAUUAUGGAUACAAAUAACUUGUCCCAUCCUUUUGGCACCUGAAGUGCUUUAAACUGAUAAAACUUGAAAUCAAAUCUCUCCCCUGAUUUUGCAGGCCUAGUCUUGUGCAACCUGAACAUUUCUAUCCUGCUCCUUUUUUU